UACAGAGGUCUCAAGCGUUGUUCGGAUUCAUUGGGCGUAAAGGGUGCGUAGGUGGCGCGCUAAGUCAGGUGUGAAAUCUCGGGGCUUAACUCCGAAACUGCAUUUGAUACUGGCGUGCUUGAGGACUGGAGAGGAGACUGGAAUUCAUGGUGUAGCAGUGAAAUGCGUAGAGAUCAUGAGGAAGACCAGUGGCGAAGGCGGGUCUCUGGACAGUUCCUGACGCUGAGGCACGAAAGCGUGGGGAGCAAACAGG
rnacentral:rRNA from 1 species